rnacentral:lncRNA from 1 species
GGAGGCAAAUGCCCUACAAUGUAAGAAGUUGCUCAAUCUAGCAAAUGGAUAGUUUUCCUAAUUUUUUUUAAAGAAGUGGAAGGAGGAAAGGAAAGAGAGAGGAAAAGAAAAAAGAAGAAAAACUAACAGAGAAUGAGAGUGAUUUCCUCACAACAGGAAGGGCUUGGGAGAGAGGGAAGGGUCAGUACUGGCUUAGUGCAGUUAUGAGUCUUGCAGAAUUGCUAUAGGAUGUGUUACAGCGAUGAAUGUUAAUGUUAAUUCUUAAAGUUUAAGACUCAAAAGUUAGGGCUGGAGAGAUGGCUUGGUGGUUACGAGCUCCGACUGCUCUUCCAGAGGUCCUGAGUUCAAUUGCCAGCAACCACAUGGGGGCUCACAACCAUCUGUAAUGGGAUCUGAUGCCCUCUUCUGGUGUGUCUGAAGACAUCGACAGUGUACUUAACAUAAUACAAGUAAAUAAGUCUUUUUUUUCAAAAAGAAUUAAAAAUUAGUUGAAUCACAAAGAGAAGUUAUACAACUACAGUGUACACCCACAUACCACACAUAUACACUAACCACACACACACAUACUCACCACACACACACACACACACACACACACAAAACUAAGAACAUGAUGGUGCUUUUCUUGUUGUCUUUCAUGUUUCAUGUCUAAUGACAAAGUAAGCACCCAGGCCCCUCAGCUGCUCUUACUACAGCCCGCAUUCCCUGUCAUCUGGUCCAACUAUCCACAUUCUACAGUUGAACUAGAGCUGGCUAAUUGGUGAUUUCUUGUGAAACGUGUACAAAGUCUCCAUUUUCCUUGCACAGGGUCUUUACCUAUACUGCAGUUAUGGCUCACACUCAAGAGCAUCACUGAUCUUCACUACCCAGGGUCUCUUUGUCCUGCUACCUGGGAUACUUUAGUUCAUUGGUUCUCAACCUUCCUAACUAUGCUGUGCUCCUUCAAUACAGCCCCUCAUGUUGUGGUGACUCCUAACCAUAAAAUUAUUUUCCUUGCCACUUCCUAACUGUAAUUUUGCUACUGCUAUGAAUUGUAGUGUAAAUAUUAUAUAUUUUCUGAUGACCUUAGGUGACCCCAGGAAAGGGUUGUUCGACCCCAACAAGGUCGUGAUCCACAGGUUGUGAACUACCGCUUUGACUGCUCUUUCUGGGCUCUGAAUCUUCCCAGAGGGACCUGUAAGGCUUUCAAAGGAUGGCCCUGCCUUGGGCACCACCACCCACACACUGCUUCGAAUCAUGGGUGUUUCUCCCUUCCCCAGACUAUGAAAAGGACCUGGAAGGUCAUUAGAACAGAUGCCUUCCUGAGCUGAUCCUUUCUCCCUCUUUUGUCCCGCCUGGGAGAAGAACACUGAUCUAACCUCGAUAUUGUCUCAAAUACUAAUUAAAUGAGUAAACUAAUCUCUUAUUAAAUGUGAAAUCUGUUCCAUCAUAUGGCCCAGCACUAAACAUCUGCAUCUUCAUAAAUAAAUAUUACCAGUCAGU